GCCACCGAUUCAAUUGCAUGAUUUGUCUCUUUUUCAAAGACCUGGACAUUAGCUCUCUGUCAUCUUGCCAUUUAAUCCCCAUUUCAGAAUAAAGCUACAACAACACCAUGGUUUGACAAUUAUGCAUAAUUGCACAAUGAGAUUUUUGUCUUGUUGUGUGUUUAUCACUUCAUGAACUUAAACUUGCAUUGUUUCUUGGUCCUCGUUGCCUGACUCUUAUUCAAAGCAACCUUGCAGCAAACUUUGACAAUCAUAAUUUAAAACUCUUUUGCCUUUUGGUGCAGGUCUUGAACAUUCCUCCACCUCCAAGUUUAACGUGGCUACUUGAGAGGUGAGCUGCUGCCCUUUUUUUUUAUAUUGAAUAGUACAAUAACUUGAACAGAGAGCGGAAAAGCCGAAAGGAUUUUAUUGUUGACCUUCUUGCCGCUUGCUUCAAUCUUGAGGAAGAAAUCAAACACGACACCGAUUGUAGACUUGCAUUUGCUUUCUUUGCCUUUUGAUUCAAAUAUUGUCUUGCAGACACAAAAUAACAUACAAGUCAUCACUCCACAAGAGGCAGUCACGUUUGAAACUUUGACAUAUGUUCUGGGAUUGCUCUGGUUUAUUCCAUCCUUUGUGGCAUCUGGACUUCUUCAUUCAUGGUGGGUUGUGAGCUUCGACAUUCAUUGUCUUCACUACUCAAGCACCGCUGCAGUCACUUUGUGUUUUCUGCAGUUUUUGUGAUCGCAGGUGAGCCAAGUAGAACACGCUGCUGAUUUGUGAUUGAAGGUAAACCGAGCAUUCUGCAAACUUGCGGCUGGAGGUGGAGCCAUAGCUUGGCGUUGAAACCCUGCACGGGGAUCACUUUGGAGCAGCUUCCCCACUAUUGUGAACUCGGGAAUUUUGCAGGACCGUACUUGACGUGAACUGGCAGCCACCAAGCAUUCACCUGACAUACUCAUUUUUGCCACCCAUAUGCAGGACGCACCGCGAUACAGGCAUCAAAAACAAGUAUGGUGAACCCCCUUGUACUUGAAGCUUGCUUCCGCCACCUAUACGCAAGACGCACCGCAGUAUAGGCAUCGAAAGCAAGUGCAGCAUGGAGUGACACCACGGCUGUGAAUGAGGGCUUGAUGUCGACUUUGUGUCUUACCCGGAAGCCAUUGGUGAGAUUUGUGAGGAUGACAACAACGAGGGACUCUUGGAGAGAGGAUAGACCAUCAACUUCUUGUUUGGAGUGCUCAUAGUCUUACAAGAUCACCUAUUUCGCUUUCUGUAAUCAUAUAAUGUAGAACAAAGAGAACACUUGAGUGAAAAUGAUAAUUGACAGCAUAUAGAAGAAA